CCUCUUCUGUUUUCAUUUCUAGUGUUUAAGUAAGGGCAAAAUUUUGGUUGUUUCUGUUUAAUAAGGGCCCAUGAUGCGAACACUAAGAGGGAAUUUACACAAGUGGACUCACAACUAGAAAGAUUUGGAAGGCAAAGCUUAUUUCACUGUAAUGAGUUACAACACUAACAUGUUUAACCUCCAGACACAGCCUUCUUAGCGGGCAACGCUCUCUACCCACCCUCCAACAGUACCAUAACCCAGAUUAACAUCUCCCAAGGCAGCCUUUCAAGAAACGUGUUUCUGUUAAGUUUGGUGUAGAAGGAAAAAAAGCCAUCAAAGUAUGUAAGAGGUUCGCUGAACUCAGACUUAACCCUAAAGCUCAAGCUAAACUCCCCAGGACACUCCUUAAGACACAACUUUAAUCUUAACACUGAAAUGUGCCCCAGGUGGGCACCCACUCAGUUAACAGGUCAAACCCAGCACUUUCCAGCCAGGCCAGCCCAUGGCAAGAUGACUGAAGGAGGAUUUUGUUCAGGGUCCUGAUCCCUUUCUCUCUGAGCACUGACUGAUGUAUCUGAAGUGUCCCUUGAUAUCAAAUUUGCCUGGGUGACCUCAUGGUGUCCAGGACAAGCCCAACUCAGGUCCAGGCAAAUUACCUCCUAGCAAAUACCUGUCUCUCAGCACGUUAUUCUGGGCACUAUGCCCACCAAUC
rnacentral:lncRNA from 1 species